CCCUUAGAUGUUCUGGGCUGCACGCGCGCUACACUGAAGCGUUCAACGAGUAUUUCACCUUGCCCGGGAGGGUUGGGUAAUCUUUUUAAAACGCUUCGUGAUGGGGAUAGAUUAUUGCAAUUAUUAAUCUUCAACGAGGAAUUCCUAGUAAGCGCGAGUCAUCAGCUCGUGCUGAUUACGUCCCUGCCCUUUGUACACACCGCCCGUCGCUCCUACCGAUUGAGCGAUCCGGUGAAUAAUUCGGACUGCAGCAGUGCUUGGUCCUCCGGGCUUUGCAGUGGAAAGUUUAGUGAACCUUAUCACUUAGAGGAAGGAGAAGUCGUAACA
rnacentral:rRNA from 1 species